GACCUCUUAGGAACACUCUCUGUCCUGAACCUCGUCUGACGGUAAGGCGCGACCCCGUAAGAUGCCUGAUAUGGAGGACGUGUCUCAUGUAUUGAAUCACGAUGGCGUGCCAGUCCCCCCCCUCCGUCAGCUGCUCUCUCCGCCCGCCGCCAGGAGCAUUGCAUCACUCGGCGCUUCUCAGCCCUCAGGUGGUGACGUCAGACUGUCCUUACAGGGUCAGUGAACCUCAUGCAUCUCCACGCUUCCUCACGCCAGUGCCAUCUGGAGUACUCUUAUGAAACUCCCGAGUCCUCAGGGUGACUUGUGUACAACUAAUACUGAAGUGAAGCACACACACACACACACACACACACAC